AGUUUUGCUGCUUUGCAUCCCGCUUAAACAAAUGUUUGCUGUGCAAAUCCAUGCAAAACUG
ncrna:Salmo salar (Atlantic salmon) microRNA ssa-mir-19c precursor (ssa-mir-19c-1)